UCACUGCAUGCAGUAUUAGGGCGUAGCAAAAUUAUUUGCUACAUUAUAUAUUAACAUAUAUUAUCACGUUGUAAGCACUAUGCCAUUAUCGUGCAAUAUAGCUUAGGAAACAUAACCAUCUAAUGUGAAAACAUUAAAUAAGUACAACGUACUGCAUUAUUAAACUAGAAUGUAGAUCAUGCCUAGACAUGGAUCGCUUAAUCGCGUGACUUGUAAUUAAAAGUGAGCAAAUUCUUUUGAUUUACAUUUCAAUCACCCCUUUAGGUGGGCUAACUUCGAUUGUGAUAGCGUUUAAUUAUUCUUUUAAAAUAUACAUAAUUCGCCACAUACAGAGAAG